CCUACGGGAGGCAGCAGUGGGGAAUAUUGGACAAUGGGCGCAAGCCUGAUCCAGCAAUUCCGCGUGGGUGAAGAAGGUCUUCGGAUUGUAAAGCCCUUUCGACGGGACGAUGAUGACGGUACCCGUAGAAGAAGCCCCGGCUAACUUCGUGCCAGCAGCCGCGGUAAUACGAAGGGGGCUAGCGUUGCUCGGAAUUACUGGGCGUAAAGGGCGCGUAGGCGGCUUAGUUAGUCAGGCGUGAAAUUCCUGGGCUCAACCUGGGGACUGCGCUUGAUACGGCUAGGCUAGAGGAUGGAAGAGGGUCGCGGAAUUCCCAGUGUAGAGGUGAAAUUCGUAGAUAUUGGGAAGAACACCGGUGGCGAAGGCGGCGACCUGGUCCAUUACUGACGCUGAGGCGCGACAGCGUGGGGAGCAAACAGGAUUAGAUACCCUGGUAGUCCACGCCGUAAACGAUGUGCGCUGGAUGUUGGGUGACCUAGUCACUCAGUGUCGUAGCUACGUCGGUAGCGCACCGCCGUGGGAGGUACGGCCGCCGAGGUAGUAAACGUUAAAGUAGAAGUUAGACGGCGUGUAGACGUUGCGAAGGACGACGACGAGGGAGAGG
rnacentral:rRNA from 1 species